ACCGAAAUAGAACAUUUACCAAAAUAGAAUGCAACAGAUCUAGCACUGUUGCAGAGAAAACGAGAGGCCUUUUGGAUUACCCUUCGACAUAUGAGAUUGCUUGGAUACUCGCGAGAAAUAAGAAGGCCAUCACAAAUGCGGAGAUUGUCAAAUAAUGUUUUUUUGCCGAAAUAUUGUAUGCUGAUUUCACAAACAAGGAAGCUAUUUUAAAGCCAUUGGCGAGGACACCGGUCCUGUGGAAAAAUAUAAAAAUCAACUUAAAGAAGACAUGCUGUUGCUCUCAGGGAGCGUUUCAAGACUGGUAAGACCAGCGACCGAUGAGAUUACCGUAGCUUGGAGGGGACUUGUCUUACGGGAUGGUCAGCUCGUUACAUCUGCAGCAGCCAGGAGGGAAGAUUGUGUCACUAAUCCGGUGCUGGAGGACAAAGACAAAGAGGCUGUGCAUGCAUGAGAAACUGCCCAUGGAAUUUCAUGAGCUCAAACUAAUGUAUUUAAAAGAGCCACGUUAGGAAGAUACAAACCCUUCAUGUUGAGUUGUCUAUGAAGGAGGAGGAGAGAAACAGGAAGCAGCAACAGUACCAAUGUUAUUUUUGAUUCAGCACCAGUUCGGGGUCCCGACAUUUCCAUUUGUGAAUGAAAUACCUUUUUGUUACCAAUACAUGGGUGUUGCUAUCUUUGUUGUGAGAUGUGCUGCAUAGCAAAAUCGUCUCUGCAGGCUUGUCCAUUUCUGUUAUUGUCUGCCUCAACUAUUGGAACAUCUGGGUCAUCCUCAUCUUCAAUGCGAGAAUCUGGGCAGCCAUGUUUGAGGUAAUUGUGAAGCACUGCUGUUGCAAUUAUGACAAUGCAACGUCUUUGUUGAAAGCGCAAAUGUGUUUCUGAGACACUGGAAACGGCUCUUCCAUAGACCAAACAUGCGCUCCGAUACGUCUCUGGUGUGCAUAUGAGCUUGAAUGUACUGUUCUUGCUCAGGUCCUUUUGUGUGAAGAUAGUUGGUUUGUCCAUACCCACUGUCACCAAGUAUGAUUCAACUCUGUUGUCCUCCUUCAAGCUGAGCAUACAAAGAGGAUCCUUGAGUCAUUAGAUGCACCUUUUCAACGGGCAAUGUCGGAGAACUGAAAAUUGCAUUGGAAGUGCACACACUUUGUACAUUUAUUGAGAAGCAGUUUUUAAGAUUCCUGUACUCCUCAGCAUCAGCUGUCGAGGGACACUUGAUGGGAAUAUACAUCCAUCUAUACCUUGUAGUUGGCUUGGGCAGCAGCAUCAGGGAACUUGAUGUUAUUGUCUUUUAGUUCACAUAUAGCGUUGCAGACUUUGGACUAUUCUGCAUAGAGUCGGUUCACUUACACCACACAUUUUCUGUUUCACGAUAGAAGGUUCCAGAUGCCAAAAACCUCAAGGUGAUCAGUACUUGUAGGGAAGGAGGGAUGGGACUUCCCCGAAGAGAUUCAGAUGAAAGCCUUGGCUCAAGCAAAAAAAUGUCAGCUGCAUUUUCUUUGUACAUACAGAAAUGGUCACGGAAAUGGAUUUAAUCAAAAUCAUUCUGUGGGUUGCUCCUGUCUAUAACUGUCAUUCUGUCUGGCCUUGGUGGUGCUCUUUGAUCAUCGUUGAAAUAGUACAGCUAAUCCAUUUUCUUCCAUUGCCAAGGUCAACCUGGGGACCAACAUCCAUUUAAUCUGAAGUUAAAUCUGCCUCUGGCAAGGUUUCAUUUAAGCCUUCACUUAAACUGAACAAAAAUAUAAAUGCAACAUGCAACAAUUUCUAAGAUUUUACUGAGUUACAGUUCAUAUAAGGAAAUCAGUCAACUUAAAUUAAUUUGUUAAACCAUAAUCUAUGGAUUUCACAUGAUUGGGAAUACAGAUAAAUCAUCUGUUGGUCUCAGAUACCUUUAAAAAAAAGUGGCAUGGGUCAGAAAACUAGUCAGUAUCUGGUGUGACCACCAUUUACCUCAUGCAUCACGACACAUCUCCUUCAAAUAGAGUUGAUCAGGCUGUUGA